rnacentral:lncRNA from 10 species
GGAGGGUCCUCCCCGGGGCGGAGGGACACAGAGGGAUUCUAGGGAACCUGCCGUCGCGAGUCCCGCUUCAGGCGGAGAAUCUAGGCGGCGGCGGGGCCUCCCUGAGGCGGAGGAGUCGGCACCGGGGCCUGGCUGCCGGGGAAGGAGAGCACGGGAGCGGGGACUCCUGUGUCUGGCGGAGGGACACGGCGUUCCGGUGGAGGGAUCUGUUCCUUGUACCUGGUCCAGGGUUGCGGUCGGGGAUGGAGCGGUUACCCCGACCCUGCGGGACCUUCUUCCUCUGGCGGAGGUGCACGGCGCGGCGUGGUGUUUUUCUGGCGGAAGUAUCUGUGCGUGGCCCCAGGCCCUUCCCGGCGCGGUCUCAUCUGGGGCCACUUGUUGGCCCUCGCGUUGGGGAGGUUCAUGUGGUGCAUCCUGAUGAGAAGGGGGGUCACAGGGGUCUCGGGGCCAGGGUUCAGCCAGCCAGGCCCCAGCUUGCUCUCUUCUGGUGCUGCCCCUGUCCCUGAAUUCAUAGACCCGGCUUUCCCUCUCUUGAGCACCUACUAUGUGCCAGGCUGCGCUUUGCGCAUGUAGCAGAGGCAACAGUGUCACCUGGGAAGCUGGUUUCCCCCAAAGGAACUCUUGUCUGUCCGUUGUUGCAGAGCCAGCGCAUGAGACCAAGUGUACAAGAUUUUAGAGACGGGAUUUCACCAUGUUGCCAAGCCUGUCUUGAACUCCUGGCCUCAAGCAAUCCAGCCUCCUCAGCCUCCAAAGUGCUGGGGUUACAGGUGUGAGUCCCUAUGCCUGGCCUUACUGUAGUUACAUCUAAUAAGUCCUGA